AGGGUUUGAUCCUGGCUCAGAAUGAACGUUGGCGGCGUGGAUUAGGCAUGCAAGUCGCGCGAGAAGUCCCCUUCGGGGGAUGGAAAGCGGCGAAAGGGAGAGUAACGCGUGGAUACCUACCCUGGGGCCCGGGAUAGCGGCGGGAAACUGCCGGUAAUACCGGAUAACGUCUCCGGACCAAAGGUGUGAUUCCGCCUAAGGAUGGGUCCGCGUCCUAUUAGCUUGUUGGUGAGGUAAUGGCUCACCAAGGCAAAGAUGGGUACCGGGUGUGAGAGCAUGGCCCGGCUCACUGGGACUGAGACACUGCCCAGACACCUACGGGUGGCUGCAGUCGAGAAUCUUCCGCAAUGGGCGCAAGCCUGACGGAGCGACGCCGUGCGGGAUGAAGGCCUUCGGGUUGUAAACCGCUGUCAGAGGGGAACAAAUCCAUGGGGGUUCUCUCCCAUGGUUGAGUGAUCCUCAGAGGAAGCGCAGGCUAAGUUCGUGCCAGCAGCCGCGGUAACACGAACUGCGCGAACGUUAUUCGGAAUCACUGGGCUUAAAGAGUCCGUAGGCGGCUUGGUAGGUGAGGUGUGAAACCCCUCGGCUUAACCGAGGAAUUGCGCUUCAAACCACCCGGCUAGAGGGAGAUAGAGGUGAGCGGAACUCACGGUGGAGCGGUGAAAUGCGUUGAUAUCGUGAGGAACACCGGUGGCGAAAGCGGCUCACUGGGUCUCUUCUGACGCUGAGGGACGAAAGCUAGGGGAGCGAACGGGAUUAGAUACCCCGGUAGUCCUAGCCGUAAACGAUGAGCACUAGAUCGGGGGGACUUCCACAUCCUCCUGGUCGUAGCGAAAGUGUUAAGUGCUCCGCCUGGGGAGUAUGGUCGCAAGGCUGAAACUCAAAGAAAUUGACGGGGGCUCACACAAGCGGUGGAGGAUGUGGCUUAAUUCGAGGCUACGCGAAGAACCUUAUCCUGGUCUUGACAUGCUUGGGAAUCCUAUCGAAAGGUAGGAGUGCCCCUCGGGGAGCCCUUGCACAGGUGCUGCAUGGCUGUCGUCAGCUCGUGUCGUGAGAUGUCGGGUUAAGUCCCUUAACGAGCGAAACCCUUGUCCUUAGUUGCCAGCGGGUAAUGCCGGGGACUCUAAGGAGACUGCCGGUGUGAAACCGGAGGAAGGUGGGGAUGACGUCAAGUCCUCAUGGCCUUUAUGAUCAGGGCUGCACACGUCCUACAAUGGCGCAUACAAAGGGAAGCAAGACUGUAAGGUGGAGCAAAUCCCAAAAAGUGUGCCUCAGUUCGGAUUGCAGGCUGAAACCCGCCUGCAUGAAGCC
rnacentral:rRNA from 1 species